rnacentral:rRNA from 1 species
GACAGAGGGUGCAAACGUUGCUCGGAAUCACUGGGCGUAAAGGGCGCGUAGGCGGCUUUGCAAGUCGGGUGUGAAAUCCCCAGGCUUAACCUGGGAACUGCAUUCGAGACUGCAUUGCUAGAGUAUGGGAGAGGGAAGUGGAAUUUCCGGUGUAGCGGUGAAAUGCGUAGAUAUCGGAAGGAACAUCAGUGGCGAAAGCGACUUCCUGGACCAAUACUGACGCUCAUGUGCGAAAGCGUGGGGAGCAAACAGG